AGCGAACGCUGGCGGCAGGCCUAACACAUGCAAGUCGAACGAACCCUUCGGGGUUAGUGGCGGACGGGGGAGGAACACGGGGGAAGGUGCCUUUAGGUACGGGAUAACUCAGGGAAGCUUGUGCUAAUACCGAAUGUGUCCUUCGGGGGAAGGAUUUAUCCCCGUUAGAGCGGCCCGCGUCGGAUUAGCUAGUUGGGUUAGGUAAUGGCUCACCAAGGCGACGAUCAGCAAAGGGUCUGAGAGGAAGAUCAGCAACAUCGGGACUGAGACGCGGUCGAAAAUCUUACGCGAGGGAGGAGUGGCGAAUCUUGCGAUACCGGGGAAAGGAUGAAGCAGUCAUGCCGCGAGAACGCUGAAGGUCUUAAGAUAGUACAAUUCUUUAAUACGGGACGAUAAUGACGGUACCCGGAGAAGAAGCACCGGCUAACUUCGUG
rnacentral:rRNA from 1 species